UACGUAGGGUGCGAGCGUUAAUCGGAAUUACUGGGCGUAAAGCGUGCGCAGGCGGUUGGCAAAGUCAGCUGUGAAAGCCCCGGGCUCAACCUGGGAAUUGCGGUUGAAACUAGUCGACUAGAAUCUGGCAGAGGGGGGUGGAAUUCCACGGUGUAGCAGUGAAAUGCGUAGAGAUGUGGAGGAACACCGAUGGACGGAAG
rnacentral:rRNA from 1 species